rnacentral:RNase_P_RNA from 1 species
GUAGGUAGGCGCCUAACUUACGGAGCCUAAAAAGCAGAACGUUUUUCGUGAACGCUUUUUUAAAGUGGUUCUGAGGAAAGUCCAUCCACCACACAAAGGUUGCUUAUCGCAAGAUAAGUUCCAGAAAUGGAAGGCAACUGUUCAGAAACGAUACAGCCUUCUGCUGUUAAAGAUGUGGCUUGCGAAGUUUCUCGUGAGAGAAAUGAGUUAACCAGCUGAAUAGGUAGAAGGGAAUGUUGAAACGACAGACCCAAUUGGUGCAAGUCUCUUAAGAGACGCUUAGUUAAAUGUUAGGGCAGUUGAUUCCUUUGCAUAAAUGCAUAAAGGAGAACUGACAGAAGAUGGCUUAUAGCUUACCUAC